UACGUAGGGUGCGAGCGUUAAUCGGAAUUACUGGGCGUAAAGCGUGCGCAGGCGGUCUGUUAAGACCGAUGUGAAAUCCCCGGGCUUAACCUGGGAACUGCAUUGGUGACUGGCAGGCUUUGAGUGUGGCAGAGGGAGGUAGAACUCCACGUGUAGCAGUGAAAUGCGUAGAGAUGUGGAGGAACACCGAUGGCGAAGGCAGCCCCCUGGGCUAACACUGACGCUCAUGCACGAAAGCGUGGGGAGCAAACAGG
rnacentral:rRNA from 1 species